CGGAGCGUAGCGCAGCCCGGUUUAGCGCACCAGCAUGGGGGGCUGGGGGUCGCUGGUUCAAAUCCAGUCGCUCCGA
rnacentral:tRNA from 2 species